rnacentral:tRNA from 8 species
GGUGAGCUGUCCGAGUGGCCGAAGGAGCACGCCUGGAAAGUGUGUAUGUCGAAAGGCAUCAAGAGUUCGAAUCUCUUGCUCACCGCCA